GACGAACGCUGGCGGCGUGCUUAACACAUGCAAGUCGAACGAUGAUGCCAGCUUGCUGGUGGAUUAGUGGCGAACGGGUGAGUAACACGUGGGUGAUCUGCCCCAAACUUUGGGAUAAGCCUGGGAAACUGGGUCUAAUACCGGAUAGUACCUUCCCUUGCAUGGGGGUUGGUGGAAAGCUCCGGCGGUUUGGGAUGGGCCCGCGGCCUAUCAGCUUGUUGGUGGGGUAAUGGCCUACCAAGGCGACGACGGGUAGCCGGCCUGAGAGGGCGACCGGCCACACUGGGACUGAGACACGGCCCAGACUCCUACGGGAGGCAGCAGUGGGGAAUAUUGCACAAUGGGCGCAAGCCUGAUGCAGCGACGCCGCGUGAGGGAUGACGGCCUUCGGGUUGUAAAGCUCUUUUACCAGGGAUGAUAAUGACAGUACCUGGAGAAUAAGCUCCGGCUAACUCCGUG
rnacentral:rRNA from 1 species